rnacentral:rRNA from 1 species
GACGAACGCUGGCGGCGUGCUUAACACAUGCAAGUCGAACGGAAAGGCCCUGCUUUUGUGGGGUGCUCGAGUGGCGAACGGGUGAGUAACACGUGAGUAACCUGCCCUUGACUUUGGGAUAACUUCAGGAAACUGGGGCUAAUACCGGAUAGGAGCUCCUGCUGCAUGGUGGGGGUUGGAAAGUUUCGGCGGUUGGGGAUGGACUCGCGGCUUAUCAGCUUGUUGGUGGGGUAGUGGCUUACCAAGGCUUUGACGGGUAGCCGGCCUGAGAGGGUGACCGGCCACAGUGGGACUGAGAUACGGCCCAGACUCCUACGGGAGGCAGCAGUGGGGUAUAUUGCACAAUGGGCGGAAGCCUGAUGCAGCAACGCCGCGUGCGGGAUGACGGCCUUCGGGUUGUAAACCGCUUUCGCCUGUGACGAAGCGUGAGUGACGGUAAUGGGUAAAGAAGCACCGGCUAACUACGUG